AGAUUGAACGCUGGCGGCAGGCCUAACACAUGCAAGUCGAGCGGUAGAGAGGUGCUUGCACCUCUUGAGAGCGGCGGACGGGUGAGUAAUGCCUAGGAAUCUGCCUAGUGGUGGGGGAUAACGUUCGGAAACGGACGCUAAUACCGCAUACGUCCUACGGGAGAAAGCGGGGGACCGUUCGGGCCUCGCGCCAUUAGAUGAGCCUAGGUCGGAUUAGCUAGUUGGUGAGGUAAUGGCUCACCAAGGCGACGAUCCGUAACUGGUCUGAGAGGGAUGAUCAGUCACACUGGAACUGAG
rnacentral:rRNA from 1 species